rnacentral:rRNA from 1 species
CCUACGGGAGGCAGCAGUAGGGAAUCUUCCACAAUGGGCGAAAGCCUGAUGGAGCAACGCCGCGUGAGUGAUGAAGGCCUUCGGGUUGUAAAACUCUGUCAUUCGGGACGAACCGGAGUCUGAGGAAAUGCAGACUCUCUGACGGUACCGGAGGAGGAAGCCCCGGCUAACUACGUGCCAGCAGCCGCGGUAAUACGUAGGGGGCAAGCGUUGUCCGGAUUCACUGGGCGUAAAGCGCGCGCAGGCGGUGAUGUAAGUCUGAGGUGAAAACCCGAAGCUCAACUUCGGGACUGCCUUGGAUACUGCGUCACUUGAGGAUAGGAGAGGCAAGGGGAAUUCCACGUGUAGCGGUGAAAUGCGUAGAGAUGUGGAGGAACACCUGUGGCGAAGGCGCCUUGCUGGCCUAUUUCUGACGCUGAGGCGCGAAAGCGUGGGGAGCAAACAGGAUUAGAUACCCUGGUAGUCCACGCUGUAAACGAUGAGUGCUAGGUGUAGGUGGGCUCAUACCCAUCUGUGCCGAAGCUAACGCAUUAAGCACUCCGCCCUGGGGGAGGUACGGUCGCGAGACGUAGAAACGUACAAUAGAAGUUAGUACGGACGUUGAGGACGUUGCCGACGGACGACGACGAGGGGAGGUAGGGAG